rnacentral:misc_RNA from 1 species
CAACCCUCAGGCACUGCUUGGUAUUGGAUGCAACUCGCUUGUAGUGCAUCUUAAAGGCAUUGGCAGCAGCAUUUAGCUUUUAGCGUAGUAAAUUUUCUCGCUCUGGAGCUUAGAUGCCUGCUGGCUAGAACUAUUAUUUCAAAGG